GGACGGCUAGCUCAGUUGGUUAGAGCGUCUGGUUUACACCCAGGAGGUCGGCGGUUCGAGCCCGCCGCCGUCCA
rnacentral:tRNA from 1 species